UACGUAGGGUGCGAGCGUUAAUCGGAAUUACUGGGCGUAAAGCGUGCGCAGGCGGUUUUGCAAGCCGGAUGUGAAAUCCCCGGGCUUAACCUGGGAAUGGCAUUUGGGACUGCAAGGCUGGAGUGCGGCAGAGGAGACUGGAAUUCAUGGUGUAGCAGUGAAAUGCGUAGAUAUCGAGAGGAACACCUGCGGCGAAGGCGGGUUGCUGGGCUGACACUGACGCUGAUGCGCGAAAGCCAGGGGAGCGAACGGG
rnacentral:rRNA from 1 species